GUAAAAUGUGCUUCGUGUUAAAAGUACUGCGGGCAAUCUGAGGAUUGUUAACCAUGGAGCAAGUGUGCUCAGAUCCUUCCCGAAUGUGUUUUAUAGAAGUGACUUAGAGAAUUAAAUUUAUUCCCCAACAAAAAUGGAAAUCUUUCUGAAUGUAUUCGGCCGGUCUCACCCCACCCCCUUCUGGCUUUUGUAGACUGCACCUUUAAAGGAACGUGCAGAAAUACGAUAACCUGGAACUACAUAAAUUCAUUCCCUGAUUACGGUCGAGAUUCACACAAGGCAUGAAACUGAAAGGCAUAGGCAAGGCUGUACCUAGGCAAACGCACUGGAUAUUCUAGAAACCAUCCAGCACACUCCCUAAGGAAUAGGAUUCCGGAUAGUCUGCACAUGCCUUGCAACUUCUUAACCUUGCCUGGUUUAGAACUUGCUGCCGGUUCAGGAACGUCUCAGAACCGCAAUCAGACUACGCACAACGGAUUGCAGUCCUUUCCAGCUCCCCCACUAUUUCUUGAGAGGAGAAAUACUGCUGAACAUUCAAGUCCGUCCCAGUGCCCUAGGGACAGUGCUGGACUCACAACACGGAGUCAAUCACGACGUGACAUGAUUUAUCGGGUUUGGACUGAUUUAUUAAGGUUCUGGCUGUAGAAGAAAACAGAAGUUUCCAGGGCUCUGGAAUAUCAGGUGUGCUAAUGAACGUCCUCUAAAGCCUGGGAGCACAUCAGCACCUUGUCACCUUGUCUGCCAGGCGCUGGCGGAAGUGGGAGAUUUGUUCAUAACACCAGGUCAUUUCCUCCCUUCCGUUCUGACCUCCCGGCACUUUCAGCACCAGCCCCCACAGACGCCACGAGCCAAGUCACUUAGUGACAUCUUAAGGUGAGGCCAAGAACUGACAGCGUGUGCUGUCCUUAAACUCAGAGGGGACCCUCCAAAUCCAGAGAUCCCCUCCUUGGAUAGCUUGCCACGUGGAAAUAUGAGGAGUGGAGACAUUAAAUGGAUUUUUGAAUAUACUUAAUAAAGAAAAAAAAUUGCUAUGUAAUUUUACCUGAUUCCCAGGAUUAUCUAGUACUUAACUAUCCAUAAUAAGGUUUUUUAAAUGUGUGGGGUUCAUUCAUUUAUUUAAUAAAUGUUUCCUGAAUACCUACUAUGUUCUAGGCACUAUUUUAGGGGUUAGGUAUA
rnacentral:lncRNA from 1 species